ensembl:lncRNA
UUUUUCUCCCGCUCGCGAAGGGAGGAUGGGAGUGGGUCUGUUGGCAGCAGAGAUUUUGUGCGUGGGGACACGGCAGCCGCGUCCGUGGCUUCCCCCCCGCCCCACCUCGCGCCGAGGGAAGCUCACGGGGCUGAUGAGCGGCCACGGAGGACGCCUGCGGCCGCCGGGGAGCUCCGCCGCCCUGAGCCGGAGCGGGCCGGGACGGGCUGCCCGGCAGCCGCAGCCGAGGAGGUAACGCCGCUGUGGGAGCCGCCGGAAGCGGGAGGCACGGCGGCCCCUUCCCGCCCUUCCCGCCGCCGUGAGAGGAGCGCCCGCGGAGCCCGCCCUGAGGGCCGAGCGCUGCGCCGGGCCCCGCGCUGAGGGCUGUGGAGAGGAUCCCGCCCGCCUGGCUGGUAGCGGGCUCCCAGGGAGAGUGUCUGCCCUGCCGGCACAGCAGACGCCUUGGGUGAUUCAGAAAUGAGCAGUGGGAGCGCUCGGUGAUUUUCACGGGAGGAAGACAGCAGCCAGCAAGGCCCCGGCUCCCUGCCAUCUUGAGCCCUUCCUGGUGAUUUGCAGCAGCACAGAUAAGUACGGAGCACUGAGGACUGAAGUCAGCGUUUGGACCUGACUUUAUUUUAGUGUAAAUGACCACACGAGAUUCAUACCAACAGAGAUAUAGGAGUAAAAUAGCAGAAGUACAUAAAUGCCUCUCCUAAAAGUACGGUUUCGAGUAUUUAAAGGUUAAGGAGAUAUAUAGAAAAGAGUCCUCUCCACAUGUGUUUAUGUUUACGUGUCCUAACAGAAGGUGACGCAUUAUCUUACAUGCCAGGUAUGUUUUGGAUGAAUCUGUAUCACCCUAUUGAUUUCAGAGGAACUGCAUUGAUUUAGGUUAGUGAAGGAACUAACCCAGCUAAGUUUCAGAUAAUUGCAAUAAUAUCUCUGUCUCUUCCAGUCAGAUUUGCCCUUCGUGUUUAGUUGUUUCAUAAUCCUGCAGCUCUCCAUUUCAUCGUUACAAGACCAGAAUCUCUAUUGUAAAAACUGAAAAGGAAAAGAACCUACCACCUUAAAAGGCAGUCUUUUUAUAUUCCAAUCUUUAUUUUCUUGUUUAAAUAAACUUAGGGCACAAAAGCUCAUCCUAUUUGUUUUUUAAAUAGGCCAAUUUAGUUUCAUUUACUUACACCGAUAUUUUAUACAGCCAAAAGCUCUCAGAAGGAAAACGUGUUCAAUGCACCAGAACCCUUUAGGGUUUUGAUGAAAGACACGAUAUCAUGAGUAACAUCUCCACUUCUGUUAUUUUUUUUAUACAGUAGCGACAAGAUUGAAUCACCAUUUUUAGCUAUUCUUCAGCAGAACUCAUAAUCUAUCAACGUGUCAGCUCAACAGCAGUUUUCUCUUCACACUAAUGUGAACCAGAAGGUCCAGCUAUCCUAGAUUUUGACAAUUUUAUCUGAGAUUGCAUACAUUGCAGAAUUUUGAAGAAAAUGAAUUGUAGGACCUACUAUGCUUUUCUAAGCACGUACAAAACGUAAAACACGUCUUCAAAAACAUUUUAAACUCAUUUUACAGGAUCACAUUCCUAAGUUAGGUGUUUCAUAAGCAUUGGGUUAUAAGCACUCUAAAAUAACAAGUGUAAAAUUAUAUGUGGGUCCCCGUAUCUUUUUAAAUGUCUCAGAUUGCCCUCUAUGUUGUUACAUAAUGCAUCAUAAAGAAAUACGUGCCUUCAUUCUCUUUAAAUCGCUCUGGCAUGGAUAGUGCUAAGCUUUCCUUCAAGUCCUCGUUAUGCAAGUCCUUGCUACUGUUAAUAGCUGUCAGCUCAGUGUGGUUAGUUAAAAAACAAGGUAACCACAGCUUUUGUGAAGCUCAUUGCAUUGCUGGAAUUCACACUGACUCAAUUCCAGGUGCUUUGCUCCCUUUCUCAGCUAUAAAUGGAAUUAUUAUGAGCAAACAGGUUUUUCUCCAUUAGAAGAAAGUCCCACUCAUUCCACUACAUCACAAGCUAAUCUGCUUUUUGUUUAGUUGUGCCUACAAGCGUAUUGUGUUAUGAAUAUCUGGAUGCACUCCUGCAGUGUUAAAUCAUGGUGAAAUAGACCAGAAUACAGUAAUAUUUUGAAAGUUUGUCAAAAAAAAAUGCAGACAUGUAACUAUGUUCUGAAAAACACCUAGCACAGUAAAAAUUCACGACCAAUCUAACAGUUAUUAGGUAACAAAUAAUCCAUAUAGGCACUAAGCGAUAUUAUGUAAAGUAAAAUCUGUGUUACGCAGUAUAAGCAGCAUUCGGGUGAAAUUGAGGCGAUGUGUGAAAAACAGAAAGAAUAAUUUCUAAAGCUAUGAUGUUACACUGCUCUGUAUUUCUUUACUUGGGAAGUGGAAUUUUCCUCGUCUUUUUGUAAAGGCACAAAAGUAACAACAGGCACUUUAAAGGUGCUUUGCCUGCUAUUUGCUCUUUUAUUUUUCCCCCGUCUAUCAAACAGAUCAUUUGUGGAAGAAAAUCAGGAGAAACCAAGCAGGGUUUGCCGGUAUCUCAGAGAUCUUUCCAAGUAGCGUCUUCUUUAACAAGGCCUCAGAUUUAAAGAUACUGAAACAGGAAUAUCUCAACAUUCGUAAUACUGCCUACAUUAAGAAAAAUUUUGCUCUCAGUUUAUACUCGUGUGGGUAUGCAAGCAGCAAGUCAGUGAAGCAUCACCAGGAAAGGACGGUUCUGUUUCAUAUUCUAGUAACUGAUCUAUUAGUUUAACAGUCCUCGGUUUCAUUUUUCCUAUUUUUUUUUCCCCUUUUUGUUAUUCCUGGAAAUUUGGAGUGCUAGCUUGUUCGUUGCUUUCCCUUCCCCUGCUAGUACCCAUUUUAAAAGGUGCAGCCCUAUUCUGCUCAGGUUUUGUUCUCACACAUGGAAAUUUUUAAAGUUCUUUUUUGCAAGCAGUAGGUUGGUGAGGGAGAGAUCUGCACUAUAAAAUAGCAAACCAACUAAACUGUACUCCAGUGGGAGAUUAAAUAAGAAAGAAGAGAAUGGCCAAGGCGAGUCGUUUGUCGCAGAUGUUCAUGCAGUUCUGUGUUUGGUUUUAAGCUGGAUUCAUCAAACGUGCUAAAGAGUAAUUUUUGUCUGAUAUGAAGUUUCUAUCCAAAGAGUCUGAGUGGGUUCGGUUUAAACCGUGGUUUGAAAAUGCAAGGGAAUGUUACCGGUCGGACACAAGAAAGUCAGACUGUUUUUGCAAUCUUAAUUCAGUAGUAAGAAGCAAAAUGUAUUGGAAUUAAAUUGCUGUGUAACACAGUUACUUAAGUUUCAAAAUCCCUUUGUGUACUGAGUACAAAUAUUUUACCAUAAAUGUCAGAAUUCCAUAGAUGAUAAAGGGUGCUUAUGCUGUUGGAGGGUAAGCAUGAAAUGCCGACGUGAUAACGUCUGAUACCAAAAUGGUGUAUGCUGCUUGUACAGUAUUUCCCAAGUUUACGACGUAACUUUAGUAAUAAAACUUAGUAAAAACGCAUGAGAUGAGCACAAAUGUAAUACUUACAAUUACCAGACUAUCUCAAAAAAAAAUAUUUAACAGGGUGGAACACAAAUGAGGAGGCCCAGAAAUAAAAUUACUUUAAAAGGGGGAUUUUGAAAAAUUCAUCAUAUCAAACUCAUUCUUAGUUCCUGUAAGUUUCUGUCUCUUUUAACAUAUUUUCCCCUUUUAAAGUUCAUUUCUGUCUCUGUUCCCUCAAAAAUUCUGCGCUCCUUCCCCAAAAAGGGAAGCAUGUUAUGGUUACAAAUACCUUCUGCUGACUGAAGUAAAAUGAUCUUUUUUCCCAAACGAAAAUGUAUGUAUUAAUUCGCUAAACUGUUCCAGCUAUGUUUACGUAUGUUAUUUCUGAGAAAUGAUGAGGGCUGCACGAUAUACUGCAGCAUACUACGAUGUAGUAGCUGUAGUCGAGCAUUUUUGUUAUUUGUAAUCAAAUAGACAGAAUUGUCAGCCUAUUUGCUUUUAAGUACCUGGAAGCUGAAUUAGAAACACGAUUUUUAAUACAAUGAAUUUGACAUUUCAGUCUGCACUUGCUUUUUUUCUUUCGUAAAUGAGCACUGAUUAUCAGAAAAAUCAAGGCUUACAUAAUCAAGCCAUACAUUUUUCUGCUCUUCUUUCUCUUCCCCCACUUUAGCCAUCAUUUUCCUCGGAAAAAUGAAAAUUUUUGAAUAGAGAAUUACUAUGACAUACUAAUUAUAUACACAUUUUCACGGGACUGCAUAACCAGCCUAUUUGUAUGUAUUUAGUAAAAGAAGGCCGUCAACAAAAUAUUACAACCUUGAGAUGGCUAAACUUUAAAAUUACAGUAAUCAUUAAAUACAGCAUUAUCUUGUUGAUGUGCCUGUCUGUGUACCACUGAGUCAUUUUUCUUUGCUUGGAGAAGUAGGGUGCUUCUAUUUAUUCCUUAUUCAGAUAACAGAAAUAAGAACGUCCUACCCCAUUUUUUUUUAAUCGUCGCAAAGCUGAUUCCCCUUCAUAAAGAAGCUGGUUUUAAUAUUCAGUUUUCAGAGGGAGAAGUGAUUGCCGUGGACAAAUAUAUAGCAAAUGAAUUGAAGCUCUGUCCUACUAGAACAAUUACAAAUUGAAUUAAUUGCAAAGAAUAAUAUUAAAAUUCUAGCUAAAUAUGUUAACAUGAACUCCUGCCCAUAGGUGGCAGUCAGCUGUCACUAUAGUAGGGAUGCCAAACUUUUGGUUCAUGAUAUUCAUACUUAUGCUGAUGUAAUUUUAAUGGAGUAUGCAUAUGUGCAUGUACAGAAGUAUGCAGAUGCCUGCAUUGGGAGAGGGGGGAGAGGUAAAAUUAACCCCCAAAUUAAUUAUUGAGUAUGAGUAUUCUUAAUUACUCUAUAUAAGCAAAGUAAAUUCUCAUUUUUUGGAGAGAAGUUCCAAGUAAAAACACACCAACUAUUUUUUUAUCAGUCUUGCUGAUGCUCAUCUAAAAGAAGUAGAGAACGUUCAGAAAUGAGCAAAUUUGCCUCUACAAGUUGAGUGGAAAGGCAAGUAUCUGGCCAGCCUUAGACAGCAUGACCUCAUACUAUGCCCAAUCCUCCUAGCUAUGUUCCUAUUUCGUAGUUCUUUGUCUGUAAAUUACAGAAGUGCUGAAAUGAUGAUGUUGUAUCCUAGAAAUCCCAGCAAUACAUUUGGCAGAUCCAGAAAAGGUACUGGGAGUGAAUGCAUGCUCUCUGACAUGGAGAGCCAGCAGCCUGCAAUUCUCUUUCCCUUUGCAGAGCUUUAGACACCCGUGGCAGCACUGCAUGAGGGGAAGAUGCAGCCAAUGAGAGCAAAGAUCCACUCAAUUUUGCCCUCAGCUUUUUUAGGGCUUUAUGUGGUUUAUGAGGACUUCCUUUUGCAAUAGAACUAAGGAGGCACUUGAGACCCCACCAAAACUGAAGGGGAUAGAAGAAGCUAAUAAGGCCAAGUUGUCUCAGUCUAAAACAAACAGAAGUGGUGAAACUAUGUGUGACAUACUAAGACAACAGAGCUCUCAUGAGAAAAGACAACUGAAAAUUAAAAUUCCUGAGUAGGUAAAAUCUUAUUCUUUUUACUGUCACAGCUACACCAGGAUACUUUUUAGUUAAGAUUAAUCUAAUUAUACAUCAAAGUAGCCCACUGUAUGCAUUUCACAGAGGUCAGGAAGUAGCAUUUUACAAAAUGGAAAGUGUGAAAAACACACAAUUAUUUGUUGCUACCGGAGUGUUCUACUGUGAUGCAAGAUUAAGGGCUCAGAAUUGAACAGAAUGGUGCAGUAUUAUUAAAAACAGAAGGCCUAAUUCUCCUUAUGCAAGGAAGGCAACUAUACACACCGUUGUAUAAGCUGAAGCAGUCGGUACGAUUUCAUAGUUGAACAGGGUAUUUUCACGUGUAUGCGACCAUUACGUGGCUAAUUAGAUACUUGCAUAUGCACAGCCCCAUUUGCUCCCCAACUAUAAUAAUUACGAGGAUUGCACUCCGCAUUAAUUUACACUCUUGUGUAACAGAAUUGAAUACAAGAUAGCAGGUGGUGAUAAACUGGCUGGUGGCAAAUGUGUAAAUUUGAUAUGCAUUUUGAAAAUCAAUACUUUCAUACUCAGUGCUGAUCUUGACAUGGAAAAGACUGGUGAAGAACUACUCGGCCAUCAAUUCUGAUCCCAGCUAUUGCAGACAGCCAUGUUGUACUGUGCAAGUUAUCUGCAGAGGUAUCAAACUCCAUCUUGAAAGUACCUUUGUCGUAAGGUUGCUCUUAAUUUCCAUUCCUCUAAAUGGUUACAGAUUUCUGAUAACAAGUAGUCAAAACCAGCUGAUGCCCUCACGUUCUGUAAACAUCUUGGAAUUCAGUUUAAAUAACUUUUCUCUCUCCCUAAGGAUAAAGCCCCUUCCAAUCUGUCACUCCUUGAGCAUUCAUAGAUUGCUUUCUUUUCAUUGUCAACUGUCAUAACCUACUCAGCCUCGGCUCUGCCCAAACAGCAGUGCUACACCUGACACCGAAGAGGAUGCCUUUCCCCAGCCAAUCUUCUAACCCUUCUUUGUACAUUUGCACUUGCAAUAAAUCUUUUUUAAGAUGCAAGAUUAGAAGUACGCAUAGUACUCCAGAGAAGAUCUUGUCAGGGCCUUUUGAGUAGCAUUAACACCUUCCUAUCCCUGCUGAAACUAAUAUUUUAAUAUUUAAAAGCUUUUUUUUAUUCUAUGCAGACCUGCAUGCUAUGAGUGUCUCAAAGGCCUUAAGGACUGAUUGAGACACCUGCUUUACAUUCUUUUUUUUUUUUUUUUUUUUUUUAUGGACACUGAUAGCAAAAUUCUUGUUAUUCCUAGUUUACAACCUUGAACUUUAUACCAUUACUGGUAUUGCAUGACAAGGGUGUCAAAAGGCUUUUUACAAGAAGGGUGUCAUCAGUUUCAUCUCGGCCUCGGGCUUCCUGUGAGUUUUCUAGCAUGUCCAGAUGUGUUCUCUACACUUUGCACAACUACGGACGUGAGAUAGUACACGCACCUGAUACAGUGCAGGGCCUUGCAGAUGAGCUAGCUUGGCUCACGAAGCAGAGUUGUCUCUGGUAUUACAUUACCUCAGGCACAUCACAGUAUGUUAUUUCAGGUAAGUCUUCAGAAAGUCAUGCAGUACUUCUGACUCAAUGCCAUAACCUGGCUUCAUUUGACAGCUCUGGGAGCAAGAGACCAAAUUUUGAAGUUUUUUUCCAGAAUCAACAGAGAUGGACUUUACUUCGCAUUGUAUUUUUUUCUGUUGAACUUGUACUUUGAUCUCCAGUUUACAGGUUAUGUCAGUAAGAGUGAAGGUGGAUCAGGAUGCAUAGGAGUUAAGUGGCAGUCUUGAAUAACUUGUAAAAAUAUGAAUUACAUGAGGCUAGAGGAUUUUGGCUAUUGUUCAUACAACAAAGGGCACAAAACUCAUAUUAUAGGCCUGAUUCAGUGUCCUGCAACCUGGCACAUGCCAAACCCAGCAAAAGCUCCUAAGCGUGGUGUUUCCAUUGUAAAGAUAAACCCCACUGGUCAAAUUUUCUUAGCUGUAAUGCAGGCACAGAAAUAUAUCAAACAGAAUUAGGUUUUGUGCUCUUAGUUGUAUUAAAUUCCCCCUCUGUGUUAACACUGUCCUAGGUUUGUGUCACCCACUGAUUAUACGCUUAAUUCCUAGGUUAAGAUACUCAGUGAAAAUAGUUCAUACAGUCUGUCUAGGAUUGUUCCUUGAGGAAGUCCAACAGGAACCUGCCAUUAGCUUGACAGUUCUUCAAAACUACUUCACAUUCGUUAUUAGAGUUAAUUUAGUAGUUGCUAUCUUCCGUAGCUUAACUGAUUAUGUUCUUCAAACUAGUAUACUAAAAAAUAUUUCCCUGAAAUCUAGAAUCUAGUCAGAUUAGGUCAACUUGUUUCCUUGAUCUGGAAAGAUAGGGGUUUUUUUUUCUUUUUAUUUAUUUAUUUUUCACGUGUGGCAUCAUCUACUCUCAGGAAAGCUUUAUGACAUUUUUCUUACGUUACAUUGAUCUCCUUUUAUCCCAUGCUUCCUCGAUCCAAUUUCUUGAUGGGCAGUCCCAGUUUUUCUGUUUUUGUUUUGUUUUUUCCCCUAAUAUUUUAAAUGAGCAGCUUUGGUUACAUCUAAAAUCCUAUUUGAGGUGGCUGCUUUUUCUACUUGGAUGCAAAGACCUAUCUGUGCAAGUUUUCCCACCCCGAAAUUAAGAAAGUGGAAAUAGGACUAAUUUUUUUUUGUCAUUUCACCUCUAUCUGAAGGGUUCACAGAGAUGCUCACUCACAGAGAUGAUGGUGAAAUAUGGAUUUUCUUGGAAAUUAUAGCAUGUGGCUGAAAAGGCCAACAAAAAUGAGAGCCUCUAAAUCCUGCAAUUUGCUGUUCUGGGAUUUUUGUACUGCACUUCUGGUCCAGCCAAGGGCUGGUCGUAUCUUGGAGAUUUUAUAAAGUCUUCAAAAGAAAGUGAGCGUGGCUGCGUGACUGUAAGGCUGCAUCAAGUUAAAAAAAAACGUUUUAUAAAAACCUUAAGUUACAUCCAAAUGAAGAUAACAAUAAAAAAACCAUCUAUCUGAUGGGCUGUAUAUAUGUAUCUGUAAAAACAGAAUGAAAUGCAUCAAAAGAGGGGCUUGAGGAAACUUUCAUUAGCCAACAUGCUAUACAUUUUAGCCACGGCUCUAGAGGAAGUUAGAGGUAACUACACUUUUAGACUAGGACUAAAUCAGUGAGCAAAUGAGCAAGUAUAACUUUGGGAAAGAAAAAGGCAGCUUUGUAAGAUGGAAACGGUGCCUCCCAAAGUUCCUCUGUAUGGGGAAAGGAGAUUUGGUUCAAACACCUACAAGGAAUUCAAAUAAGAUGUUCAACAUCUUUUACUAAAGCAUCCCAAAAAAAACCAAGUGAAGAGGCAGGUUCUCACUGCACAAGAGACACAUGAAAAGAUAGUAAGUAUAGGACAGAAGCAAUUGCUCGCUUUUCACAGUGAUGGGAGACAAAUAGCAGAGUCCUUGCCUACUAUUAAGCAGCAUUCUCAGAAAUACUCUGGAAAGGGGGAUGAAUAAAAGUUACAAAGUUUACAGACAUCACAAAGGGGGGAGGAAGGUGGAGAUGUGAUAGGGGCUGCCUUGAAAACAUCCCUGUGCUGCCUGGAAUUACAAAGAAAGGGAACGAAUUUAAAAACAAACAAACAAAAACAUGGUCAGGUGCCAUGUAAAUCUUUUCUAAACGCUUUCUAAGCACUGUGUGUGUUUCUGCCUUUAGCAUACAUGCGUAGCAGUGGGCAUGUUUAAAAACAUAGGACAAACAAAGCUGGAAAGCUAACAUCAGAACCUGCUGUACCAGGUGAAAACAACAAUUUGCUCCAUGUGCUCCUCCCUAGGCUUCAGAAAGGCCAAGAGGAAAAGAACCAAUGUGAGACAGGGCAUUGCUGAAAACAUGCUGUGCAGUGAUGAAGGUGGCCUGUAGAACAGCAUGUUUAUACUUUGACCUGUGUUUGCACCUGUCUUCCCCCCUAUUAUCCUCUUAGAUCAAAUCUAUUAAUAAUUGUAAAGUAGUUGUAAUAGCACACUGAAAAUUGUUAGUCAGCAGGGGAGAGCUUUAUUGCCAGAAUUGUAACUCACACAUGGAAAACUUGGGGUGAAAGAGAAGCAGCAGCAGGCUUUGCUAGUGCAGUUUCACAGAUGAGGCAAUUGGGAGUACCCUGAUGGUCAGGAUUAGUCUUGUGAUUAAUCACAGUGUCACAGAAUCAUCACAGAAUGGCUUGGUUUGGAAGGGACCUCAGAGUUCACGCAGUUCCAACCCCUUGCUGCACAUAGGGCUGCAGCCCCCCAGCUCAGCUGUCCGUGGCUCCAUCCAUUCUGGCCUUGAGCACCACCAGGGAUGGAGCACCACAGCUUCUCUGGGCAGCUGUGCCAGUGCCUCAACACCUUCUGAGUAAAAAAUUGCUACCUAAUAUCUAAGCUCAAUCUCCCCUUUUUUAGCUUUAAACCAUUCUCCCUCGCCCUGUCACUAUCAGACCGUGUAAAAAGUCAGUCCCCCUCCUUAGUGUUUAUAAGCACCCUUCAAGUACUGGAAAGCUGCAAUGAGGUGUCCCCAGAGCCUUCUCUUUUCCAAGCUAAGGGUUUGUUCCCUUAGCCUGUCUUCAUGCGAGAGGUUCUCCAGCCCUCUGGACAUCUCCGUGGUCCUUCUCUGGACCCACUCCAACAGCUCUCCAUAUCUUUCUUUACUGACCCCUAUGAUCAGUACAACCUGUACUCAACUGUACUACAGCAAAUGCUAACAGCACAAGUUGUGAGUCACAGUCGCUACAGAAGACCACCGAACCAUCCAUUUUAAGUGGACAGUUGUGGUAAUGGAAAGCAGGUAAAAAUGUAUGCAGGUUGUUCUUAAAAGAAUGUCUUCUAUUUAUUUCCCUGGAAACUACAACUAAGAGCACAGUAUCAUUAUUUGAUAAAGCAAAUUCUCAGCUACAAAACAUUUUUUCAACACAGUCACCACCAUUCGCUAUGCAUUUCUGCCAGCGAUGAACAAGAGCCUGUAUGCUGCACCCAUUAAAAUCUGCAUCUCUACUGCCAUACCUCCAACAUCUACCUCUGACAUUAUGGGCCAACAUAAUAAAAUCAGAGACAUUGCUUUCACAGCAGCCCUCGUAUUUAAAAAGGCUGCCUGCAUGCUAGGGAACUACAAGGAGUUUCAUCUCCAGCUGGGAGCUUACAGGCUGGGCUCUACAAGACAGACUCGAGUGUCUGAGAAGGUCACAUGGUGACCCACAGGCCACCAGUGGGAUGCAGAUGGGAAAGAAGCAAAUAAAGAUCUUGGGUGUAACAAGUGCAAAUGAGAGACCUUCAGUACUAAAUCUCAUCUACAGCAGCAUUUGUUGUUCUGGUUACCUGUGCUCAAGAAAAGUCAAACAACCAAAUGCAGAAAGAACUGUUCAGGACAACAUUGAGCUUGCCUUAGAAAAACUAGUUAAAAAGGGUUUUGGUCAACAACUCAGCAAAAGACAGAGGGGGAAUGUUUUUAGUACAAGUGUGAAAAAAUUAAAACAAAGAGGGGGAAAAGCUGGUACUUAAGUAGCAUAACCAUGACUAAAAUUGAGACUAGGUGCUUUUUAGUUCUGUGAAGAAGGUAGCUCUAAGAACAGCUUUUCAAUAGG